rnacentral:rRNA from 1 species
GCUCGUGUCGUGAGAUGUUCGGUUAAGUCCGCUAACGAGCGCAACCCUCGCUGUGUGUUAUAUGUGUCACACGGGACUGCCGGUCUUAAGCCGGAGGAAGGUGGGGAUGAAUGGUCAAGUCAGCAUGGCCCUUUAUAUCCUGGGCUACACACACGCUACAAUGGCCAACACAAUAGGUUGCUAAGCCGCGAGGUGGCGCCAAUCCCAUAAAGUUGGUCUCAGUUCAGAUUGUAGGCUGCAACCCGCCUGCAUGAAGAUGGAGUUGCUAGUAACCGCAGGUCAGCUAUACUGCGGUGAAUACGUUCCCGGGGCUU